rnacentral:lncRNA from 1 species
UCAAUAUAGCUAAAAAUUUAGAGAAAUGAUCUACUUAUAAAUACUUAUAAACUGAACGGUCAAGAUGUGGAUAUAAAAUUGAAAUAUGGGGUAAGCCGAAAAGUCUUCACCAAGUCCUUAACUUAAGGAUCCUCAAUAGAAGGGCUUCCAUUUGGAUAUAGUGUCUAAACCAUGUUAUGUGAUACCAUUAUCUAUGAGGACAUUGUUUAUAAGGACAUCAUCUAAAAGGAAGGAAAUCCUGAAUAAUACAUGGUGUAUUGUCUAUCCAAAAGUUAUCUAACAUAAAUAAACUAACAAAAUGUGAUGAUCUAUGUAAAUACCAAAACCAAACACUUUGAAAGUGUGAUAAUCUAUGUUUAACACUGUUUGUUUCACGAUAAACAUGCAUAGAUGAAAAGAAGUUAAAUUCUUGCAUAUAGUAUUUGUAAUCAUCAAGAACCACUCGUAUCUCAAACAAGUUAAUUUCAUCUCUUACCAUGGCUGAUAGCACUGCACAAUCACUUGCUCAAUCUCAUUUCAUUGAUGGUGAAUAGCUAUAAGUAACCCAGCCCUAAUGGCUUUUGCCUCAACACGCAACGCAGAUUGUGCAUGCUCCAUGUACCUAGAUAACGCAGCUAAACACUUCCCAACCUCAUCUCGUGCCACUACUCCAACUCCGCCGUUCCCAUACUCUGCCAAGAAUGCACCAUCAACGUUAUGCUUAACUCUAUGGUUCUAAAUUACCACAUGACAUUGCUACAUGGUGGUUUGAGCCAAUGUUAUCACUUGAAUUUGACCAUUGCAAGGGUGAACAAAAACAAUAAUUAAACUAAAGGAAUCAUUGCAAAAAAUACAUUUCAAAAUAAUAUUAACCUCGAGACCAUAAAAUAAUUCCACAUGAUCCAUUUGAACCCUUAAACUCCCUGCAAUUAAGGUACAUUUCCAGGUUAAAUAGUUGUGUGUCAGUUAAGGCUAGUAUUGUUUUUUUUUGUUUUUUUUUUUUUGUUACAAAAAUGGCUAAUACGUUGUUAAAAAAAGUCUACAUUUGAUGUACCCUUAAUGUGUCGUAUAAGUUUGUUAAGGUCGUUGAGAUGAUAGUUGGGGGUUGGGGGAAAAUCUUUGAGGCUAUGUUCGGUUGUUGAUUGCGACCUCAAAUGUAUGGACAGUUUGGUGGUGGAGAGAUAUAUGCACUCUGCAGUACUAGUUAUGACAUAUUUUCUAAAGAGAAAAAUGUACCGCUGGUACCCCAAUUUUUGUGGCACGGUCAAAGUGGUACCCAUACUUUAAAAACUAUCAAUAUGGUACCCAAACUUCUAUUUCGCUACGAAGGAAAGGCCUGAGGCCAAUUUUCGUAACUGUGCCGUUAGUUUGCUGACGUGGCUAGUAUGAGGUCCACUAAAAAAAGAUGUAAUGACAAAAAUAACCUUCUAAUUCUCCAGAACAGUUUUCCCUCCAAAAUCUUUAAAAUUGAAUAUUUGGUUUUCAUCCUGGAUAUCACAUUGAUUAGUUCAGUAAAAUUUAGGUAUCACAUUGAUCAUUUUAGUAAAGUUUAGGUAUUACUGUUGUGUUUAUCUGCUGACAAUAAAUACUAUGCAAUGCAAUAGCUGAAAAUGUAACAUAGAAAUUCAAACAUAGAACCAAAAGGUCUGCCAAUAUCACUGAAUUAAAACCAUUAAAACCAACAUCAGUUCAACAUGAGAAACAUACUAUGCAUUAGAUUCAAGCUUAAUUGCUUUCCAAAAACUCAAGGAACCAGAUUGUUUGCAAAAAAUUAAUUCCAAAACAUGAUGAAGUACACAUUAUGUUUCUCUGAUUUAAAGCCAGCACAUUCACUUUUGAGCACCCCUUGCUCCAUGAUUUUGGCUGCUUUAAGUAGGAGGCUGUGUUGAGGCCGUCUGAUGCACUACCAUUUCCAGCAGAACUACCCUCCAUUGCCAACUUCAUUUUCUUCCAUCCCUUUCUAGACUUUAUGACCUGGUCCUUGAUAGGUCUUGAUUCCUUGGGUGGGGCUGGUGCCCUUUGGACCUGUGAAAGACAAACAAGACAUUUCCAACACAAUUCAACAACAACAUUAUUUCCAACAGUUAACAAAACAUUUCAGCAAUAUUCCUAAAACCAAAGUACUCCUGAAAUGUCAAUGAAAGGAUAGUAAAAAGAUGCAAACACUACAUUGUGUUGUGAAGUGGCUUAAAGCAAUAAAGCAUUCAAACAAAACGGAAAGACAUUCUAAAGCAAUGAUCAAUUAGAUUACCACAACGACAACUAACGUUCAUGUCGUCCAAACGUUGAUUGCUUAAGGAACAGCUCAACCAAAGAUGAUCUCAGCACACUUAUGGACACUGGAAGUAUCGGAACAUUCACCGGAUCAGAAGACACCAAACACCACAUCAGUCCAGUUAGAUGCACUAUUUUGGUGCAUGGACAAAAUAGCCACCUGUUGACAAAAUAGCCACCUGCAUCUGAGCAACAAAAAUAUAUCAAAAAUAACUAUUUUGAAAGCCAAUCACCAAUUACUCUUUUAAUCUUAUAUAAGGGCUUUUAUGCAAAAAAAAAAAGACUUUUAUGAAUUUGGUAUUCUUCUCUUUCCAGAGUUGUUAUAGUAUGGUAGGAGCAAACUUGUUACUAAAAUGGAGCUGAAUUAGUUCUGCAGCAAUGCUAACAAAUUGGUCCAGUCAUAUGCCAUAUUAGCUAUUCUAGGGUCCUCAACAUGAACAAUAAUGAUAAUCCAACAAUGUAAAAUGAAUCCAAUCCCAUACGAAGGUAUCAUUAGAAGCUUGAAGGAACUUUUGGCAGGAUAAUUCAGUGCCUUUGUAGACAACACAGGUCAUUGUACUAGGACAUCUUAGUUAACAGAUUUACAAGUUGACAAAUUUAACAGAUUGUGUCAAACUAAUCAUAUCUAUGAUCAUUAUGCUUAGCUUUGAUAUUUUGAGGUGAUUAACACAUAGAUUACGAUGGGUUGGAUUAUGCACAUAAGGCUGAGAUCUAUUGGUUCUCACCAGUUGCCACAUUCAUGGCUAGUGCGGUUGGGAUGGGGACGUGACACCUAAUUCUUGACAGGUACAUGAAAUUCUGACAGCCAAGUAAAAUCCCAAAUUUUUCAGGUUCUAAUUUGCAUAACAAGCAGGUGAAACAAUGAAAAAGCUGCAUAACAAUAUCCUCGAAACGCAAGCAAUGCUUAAAAAACAAGUGACAAGGCAAUAUCCUAUAUAUAGCCGGGUGAGUCGAACAUUGCAAGACCCAAACAAUCAUCAAAUUCAUUUUAUUCUAAAAGCAUAAAAAACCCCUAAUAAUUAGGUUAACCACCAUUGAACCAAUAUUGACACACCAGCACGAUGAAGAUCCCCAAUAUCCCCAAAAAUACAUAAAAUCAUGCCAGAAAUACGAAAAUUAACAUACUCAUUACCUCAAAAAAGAAAAAUUGAACCGAUUUAUACAGAAGAAAAAGGAAUAAGUGGACCUACCACCGAGCUUAAUCGAUUCUUUGGCAUCGAACCCAGAAUUGACGGAAUGGCGAGGAAGGAUCCAGAAGAUCCCGGAGAGGAAAACCGAGAAGCCGAGAAUUAAACGAAGACGCAUCGGAAGCUGAACUCCUGGGCGAUUCUGUUCAAGAAUCUGGAACAUUCGGGACAAAUGAACCCAGAAGCAUCGAGGGUUUGGUGACUCUGAUCCUGGAGGUGCUGCUGGUGCAGGCUUUUCUCACCUUUCCCCAUUUGCAGGGAAUCUGGGAGUCUCACACAGACUUGGGUCUCGCCGUCUCGUCUCUUUCUCUGUCGAAGAAGAAGAAGAAGAAAGGGAAGAAGAAGGAAGGUGAAGAAGAUGUGA